GACGUAGGGUGCGAGCGUUGUCCGGAUUAUUGGGCGUAAAGAGCUCGUAGGCGGCUCGUCGCGUCGACCGUGAAAACCCGCGGCUUAACUGCGGGCUUGCGGUUGAUACGGGCGGGCUAGAGUUCGGUAGGGGAGACUGGAAUUCCUGGUGUAGCGGUGAAAUGCGCAGAUAUCAGGAGGACACCGGUGGCGAAGGCGGGUCUCUGGGCCGAUGACUGACGCUGAGGACGAAGCGUGGGGAGCGAACAGG
rnacentral:rRNA from 1 species